AGUGAACGCUGGCGGUAGGCCUAACACAUGCAAGUCGAACGGCAGCACAGUAAGAGCUUGCUCUUACGGGUGGCGAGUGGCGGACGGGUGAGGAAUACAUCGGAAUCUACUUUUUCGUGGGGGAUAACGUAGGGAAACUUACGCUAAUACCGCAUACGACCUACGGGGGAAAGCAGGGGAUCUUCGGACCUUGCGCGAUUGAAUGAGCCGAUGUCGGAUUAGCUAGUUGGCGGGGUAAAGGCCCACCCAGGCGACGAUCCGUAGCUGGUCUGAGAGGAUGAUCGGCCACACUGGAACUGAGACACGGUCCAGACUCCUACGGGAGGCAGCAGUGGGGAAUAUUGGACAAUGGGCGCAAGCCUGAUCCAGCCAUACCGCGUGGGUGAAGAAGGCCUUCGGGUUGUAAAGCCCUUUUGUUGGGAAAGAAAAGCAGCAGGUUAAUACCCCGCUGUUCUGACGGUACCCAAAGAAUAAGCACCGGCUAACUUCGUG
rnacentral:rRNA from 1 species